AAUAGAUACCCGGGUAGUCCACGCCGUAAACGAUGAGUGCUAAGUGUUAGAGGGUUUCCGCCCUUUAGUGCUGCAGCUAACGCAUUAAGCACUCCGCCGUGGGGAGUACGGUCGCAAGACUGAAACUCAAAGGAAUUGACGGGGGCCCGCACAAGCGGUGGAGCAUGUGGUUUAAUUCGAAGCAACGCGAAGAACCUUACCNAGGUCUUGACAUCCUCUGACAACUCUAGAGAUAGAGCGGUUCCCCUUCGGGGGACAGAGUGACAGGUGGUGCAUGGUUGUCGUCAGCUCGUGUCGUGAGAUGUCGGGUUAAGUCCCGCAACGAGCGCAACCCUUGAUCUUAGUUGCCAGCAUUUAGUUGGGCACUCUAAGGUGACUGCCGGUGACAAACCGGAGGAAGGUGGGGAUGACGUCAAAUCAUCAUGCCCCUUAUGACCUGGGCUACACACGUGCUACAAUGGAUGGUACAAAGGGCUGCAAGACCGCGAGGUCAAGCCAAUCCCAA
rnacentral:rRNA from 1 species